GGGGUUGUGGCUCAGUGGCAGAGCACUUGCCGUGCAUGUAUAAGGCACUGGGUUCAAUCCCCAGCACCACA
rnacentral:tRNA from 1 species